rnacentral:rRNA from 1 species
GGCGAACGGGUGAGUAACACGUAGGUGAUCUGCCCUUGGGCGGGGGAUAGCCCAUGGAAACAUGGGGUAAUACCGCAUAAGGUUCAGGCUGUAAGGGGCCUGGAUGAAAGGUGCAAUUGUACCGCCUGGGGAUGAGCCUGCGGUCCAUUAGUUAGUUGGUGGGGUAAGAGCCUACCAAGGCGACGAUGGAUAGCCGGCCUGAGAGGGUGAACGGCCACACUGGGACUGAGACACGGCCCAG